UUUGAUGAAUUCAUAGUCAAACGAGGCGAACCGGGGGAACUGAAACAUCUCAGUACCCCGAGGAAAAGAAAUCAACCGAGAUUCCCCCAGUAGCGGCGAGCGAACGGGGAGCAGCCCAGAGUCAACAUCAAUAUUUACCGCAGGAGAAGGGUCUGGAAAGGCCAGCAAUAAAGGGUGAUAGCCCCGUAUCUGAAACGGUAAGUAUUGUGAACUCGAAGAGUAGGGCGGGACACGUGUUAUCCUGUCUGAAUAUGGGGGGACCAUCCUCCAAGGCUAAAUACUCCUGACUGACCGAUAGUGAACCAGUACCGUGAGGGAAAGGCGAAAAGAACCCCGGCGAGGGGAGUGAAAUAGAACCUGAAACCGUGUACGUACAAGCAGUGGGAGCACCCGAAAGGGUGUGACUGCGUACCUUUUGUAUAAUGGGUCAGCGACUUAUAUUCUGUAGCAAGGUUAACCGCAUAGGGGAGCCGUAGGGAAACCGAGUCUUAACUGGGCGUUAAGKUGCGGGGUAUAGACCCGAAACCCGGUGAUCUAGCCAUGGGCAGGUUGAAGGUUGGGUAACACUAACUGGAGGACC
rnacentral:rRNA from 1 species